rnacentral:rRNA from 1 species
GAUGAACGCUGGCGGCGUGCCUAAUACAUGCAAGUCGAGCGAACGGACGAGAAGCUUGCUUCUCUGAUGUUAGCGGCGGACGGGUGAGUAACACGUGGAUAACCUACCUAUAAGACUGGGAUAACUUCGGGAAACCGGAACUAAUACCGGAUGAUAUUUUGAACCGCAUGGUUCAAAAGUGAAAGACGGUCUUGCUGUCACUUAUAGAUGGAUCCGCGCUGCAUUAGCUAGUUGGUAAGGUAACGGCUUACCAAGGCAACGAUGCAUAGCCGACCUGAGAGGGUGAUAGGCCACACUGGAACUGAGACACGGUCCAGACUCCUACGGGAGGCAGCAGUAGGGAAUCUUCCGCAAUGGGCGAAAGCCUGACGGAGCAACGCCGCGUGAGUGAUGAAGGUCUUCGGAUCGUAAAACUCUGUUAUUAGGGAAGAACAUAUGUGUAAGUAACUGUGCACAUCUUGACGGUACCUAAUCAGAAAGCCACGGCUAACUACGUG